UAUACAUUGGUGCAACAAAGGUAGUGAG
rnacentral:sRNA from 1 species